GUGUCAGCAGCCGCGGUAAUACGUAGGGGGCAAGCGUUGUCCGGAAUUAUUGGGCGUAAAGCGCGCGCAGGCGGUUAUUUAAGUCGGGUGUUUAAGCCCGGGGCUCAACCCCGGUUCGCAUCCGAAACUGGAUGACUUGAGUGUAGGAGAGGAAAGUGGAAUUCCACGUGUAGCGGUGAAAUGCGUAGAGAUGUGGAGGAACACCAGUGGCGAAGGCGACUUUCUGGCCUAUAACUGACGCUGAGGCGCGAAAGCGUGGGGAGCAAACAGGAUUAGAUACCCUGGUAGUCCACGCCGUAAACGAUGCAUACUAGGUGUCGGGGAUUCGAUUCUUCGGUGCCGAAGUAAACACAGUAAGUAUGCCGCCUGGGGAGUACGCUCGCAAGAGUGAA
rnacentral:rRNA from 1 species